ACAGUGUCCAGGUCUCCAGACUCAUGUGGCUUUACUGAACCGUGCGGCCUCAGCAGUAUGCACAGUGUCCAGGUCUCCAGAGUCAGGUGGCUUUACUGAGCCAUGUGACCUCAGCAGUAUGCACAGUGUCCAGGUCUCCAGACUCAGGUGGCUUUACUGAGCCAUGUGACCUCAGCAGUAUGCACAGUGUCCAGGUCUCCAGACUCAGGUGGCUUUACUGAGCCGUGCGGCCUCAGCAGUAGUGCACAGUGUCCAGGUCUCCAGAGUCAGGUGGCUUUACUGAGCCGUGCGGCCUCAGCAUUAUGCACAGUGUCCAGGUCUCCAGAGUCAGGUGGCUUUACUGAGCCGUGCGGCCUCAGCAGUAUGCACAGAGUCCAGGUCUCCAGAGUCAGGUGGCUUUACUGAGCUGUGCGGCCUCAGCAGUAUGCACAGUGUCCAGGUCUCCAGAGUCAGGUGGCUUUACUGAGCCAUGUGACCUCAGCAGUAUGCACAGUGUCCAGGUGUCCAGAGUCAGGUGGCUUUACUGAGCCGAGCGGCCUCAGCAGUAGUGCACAGUGUCCAGGUCUCCA